UACGGAGGGUGCAAGCGUUGUCCGGAAUCACUGGGCGUAAAGGGCGCGUAGGCGGCUCAUGAAGGCUGUGGUGAAAGUCCGGGGCUCAACCUCGGAUCGGCCGUGGCGACUCGUGGGCUGGAGCACUGUAGAGGCAGGUGGAAUUCCGGGUGUAGCGGUGGAAUGCGUAGAGAUCCGGAAGAACACCAGUGGCGAAGGCGGCCUGCUGGGCAGUGGCUGACGCUGAGGCGCGACAGCGUGGGGAGCAAACAGGAUUAGAUACCCUGGUAGUCCACGCCGUAAACGAUGGGCACUAGGUGCUUGGGGGAGCGACCCUCUGAGUGCCGGCGCUAACGCAUUAAGUGCCCCGCCUGGGGAGUACGGCCGCAAGGCUGAA
rnacentral:rRNA from 1 species